rnacentral:rRNA from 1 species
CUUAUGCGUUGUUGGGUAGGGGAGCGUUCUGUAAGCCUGUGAAGGUGUGCUGUGAGGCAUGCUGGAGGUAUCAGAAGUGCGAAUGCUGACAUAAGUAACGAUAAAGCGGGUGAAAAGCCCGCUCGCCGGAAGACCAAGGGUUCCUGUCCAACGUUAAUCGGGGCAGGGUGAGUCGACCCCUAAGGCGAGGCCGAAAGGCGUAGUCGAUGGGAAACAGGUUAAUAUUCCUGUACUUGGUGUUACUGCGAAGGGGGGACGGAGAAGGCUAUGUUGACCGGGCGACGGUUGUCCCGGUUUAAGCGUGUAGGCUGGUUUUCCAGGCAAAUCCGGAAAAUCAAGGCUGAGGCGUGAUGACGAGGCACUACGGUGCUGAAGCAACAAAUGCCCUGCUUCCAGGAAAAGCCUCUAAGCAUCAGGUAACAUCAAAUCGUACCCCAAACCGACACAGGUGGUCAGGUAGAGAAUACCAAGGCGCUUGAGAGAACUCGGGUGAAGGAACUAGGCAAAAUGGUGCCGUAACUUCGGGAGAAGGCACGCUGAUAUGUAGGUGAAGCGACUUGCUCGUGGAGCUGAAAUCAGUCGAAGAUACCAGCUGGCUGCAACUGUUUAUUAAAAACACAGCACUGUGCAAACACGAAAGUGGACGUAUACGGUGUGACGCCUGCCCGGUGCCGGAAGGUUAAUUGAUGGGGUUAGCGGUAACGCGAAGCUCUUGAUCGAAGCCCCGGUAAACGGCGGCCGUAACUAUAACGGUCCUAAGGUAGCGAAAUUCCUUGUCGGGUAAGUUCCGACCUGCACGAAUGGCGUAAUGAUGGCCAGGCUGUCUCCACCCGAGACUCAGUGAAAUUGAACUCGCUGUGAAGAUGCAGUGUACCCGCGGCAAGACGGAAAGACCCCGUGAACCUUUACUAUAGCUUGACACUGAACAUUGAGCCUUGAUGUGUAGGAUAGGUGGGAGGCUUUGAAGUGUGGACGCCAGUCUGCAUGGAGCCGACCUUGAAAUACCACCCUUUAAUGUUUGAUGUUCUAACGUUGACCCCUAAUCGGGGUUGCGGACAGUGUCUGGUGGGUAGUUUGACUGGGGCGGUCUCCUCCUAAAGAGUAACGGAGGAGCACGAAGGUUGGCUAAUCCUGGUCGGACAUCAGGAGGUUAGUGCAAUGGCAUAAGCCAGCUUGACUGCGAGCGUGACGGCGCGAGCAGGUGCGAAAGCAGGUCAUAGUGAUCCGGUGGUUCUGAAUGGAAGGGCCAUCGCUCAACGGAUAAAAGGUACUCCGGGGAUAACAGGCUGAUACCGCCCAAGAGUUCAUAUCGACGGCGGUGUUUGGCACCUCGAUGUCGGCUCAUCACAUCCUGGGGCUGAAGUAGGUCCCAAGGGUAUGGCUGUUCGCCAUUUAAAGUGGUACGCGAGCUGGGUUUAGAACGUCGUGAGACAGUUCGGUCCCUAUCUGCCGUGGGCGCUGGAGAACUGAGGGGGGCUGCUCCUAGUACGAGAGGACCGGAGUGGACGCAUCACUGGUGUUCGGGUUGUCAUGCCAAUGGCACUGCCCGGUAGCUAAAUGCGGAAGAGAUAAGUGCUGAAAGCAUCUAAGCACGAAACUUGCCCCGAGAUGAGUUCUCCCUGACUCCUUGAGAGUCCUGAAGGAACGUUGAAGACGACGACGUUGAUAGGCCGGGUGUGUAAGCGCAGCGAUGCGUUGAGCUAACCGGUACUAAUGAACCGUGAGGCUUAACCUU